UUCAGAGGAGCCCAUUUACAUCGUCACGGAGUACAUGAGCAAGGGGAGUUUGCUGGACUUUCUCAAGGGGGAGACAGGCAAGUACCUGCGGCUGCCUCAGCUGGUGGACAUGGCUGCUCAGGUCUGCUUACAGGUGCCCUGAGGGGUGAUUCUGGGCAGCAGAAGGCCCUUACCUGGGCAUCAGGGGUCACUGACUUACUGUGGGACCUCGGGCCUCAGUUGUCGUCUCUGUAAAGGUCAUUUAGUCGCUUAGCAGACGUGUUCAUGCUUGCUGUAGGCAGUGGUCAACAAGCCUUUUUUUUUUUCAUUUAAUCCUCAUCACGACCAGGAGUGACGAGGAUUGGCUGUUAUUCCCAUUGGACGGAUGAGAAAACUGAGGCUCAGAGAGGGGACUUGGGCAGCAGGCAGGACCUGGCACUCAUCUGUGUCUGGGUCCGCUGGGGCCUCUUUCCCUGGUCACCUCGCUUUCCUGGCUGCAUCGGAUCUCGUGCCUCCCCUUUGACCUUUGCCUUCUGCCCUCUGCUCUGUGCCCUGUGCUCCCUACUCCCGCAGAGCACUGCUCCUGCUUUCGAUGCCAACAGCAU
rnacentral:lncRNA from 10 species